rnacentral:rRNA from 1 species
UACGUAGGGUGCGAGCGUUAAUCGGAAUUACUGGGCGUAAAGCGUGCGCAGGCGGUUUUGUAAGCCAGAUGUGAAAUCCCCGGGCUUAACCUGGGAAUGGCAUUUGGGACUGCAAGGCUGGAGUGCGGCAGAGGAGACUGGAAUCCCUGGUGUAGCAGUGAAAUGCGUAGAUAUCCGGAGGAACACCGGUGGCGAAGGCGGCUUCCUGGACCGACACUGACGCUGAGGCGCGAAAGCUAGGGGAGCAAACGGG